CCUACGGGAGGCUGCAGUGGGGAAUAUUGGACAAUGGGGGGAACCCUGAUCCAGCCAUGCCGCGUGUGUGAAGAAGGCCCUCGGGUUGUAAAGCACUUUCAGUGAGGAAGAACGCCUGGUGGUUAAUACCCAUCAGGAAAGACAUCACUCACAGAAGAAGCACCGGCUAACUCCGUGCCAGCAGCCGCGGUAAUACGGAGGGUGCGAGCGUUAAUCGGAAUUACUGGGCGUAAAGCGCGCGUAGGUGGCUUGAUAAGCCGGUUGUGAAAGCCCCGGGCUCAACCUGGGAACGGCAUCCGGAACUGCCAAGCUAGAGUGCAGGAGAGGAAGGUAGAAUUCCCGGUGCAGCGGUGAAAUGCGUAGAGAUCGGGAGGAAUACCAGUGGCGAAGGCGGCCUUCUGGACUGACACUGACACUGAGGUGCGAAAGCGUGGGUAGCAAACAGGAUUAGAUACCCUGGUAGUC
rnacentral:rRNA from 1 species